GCUGGCUGCGCGUGUGCAGAGCUCGCACAAAAGGCCUUACUUAGGUUGCGCAGGCGCCCGCUGGCCAGAGUCGCAGAGGGUCCGCGUUUGCAGUCCAGCGACCCCGUGGGUGCUGUUUUUGCGAGGACUGUUUGUCCUCAUAACUCUGGGAGGGCCACAGGGACCUUGGCGAGCUGCGGGCUGCCAUCCAGAGCCGUGAGUGGUUCGCUGAAUCUCCGCACCGCCGCUGAAGCUUGCAGGCUGGCCGCCUCCGCUGUGUGAGAAGUCGGAGGAGGUGGAGCGGAAGCGGCCGCCGCAAUUUCCUUUCCUCCACGUUGGCUCUCAGCCUUCCCCAAGGUCCGGGGUGCCGACAGCUGCUGUUCAAGACAGCUUUGGGGGUGCGGUCGCUGGACGAGAAGGUGUUGGGUGUUGGAGUCGCCGGGGAGGGUGCAUCCGCCCGGUUUUUGUUCCGUGUGGGGGCGGUGCGGGCCGGGGGGCACCGCGGAGGCGGAGGACAGCUUAAUUGGCCCUCUCAGGUCUGGUCCUCUUCCCUGCCUUGCAUUUUUGUUUCAACGCCGGACCGCGUAUAAGAGACCAUGAUGUUGGACACCGAAGGUGGAAAGGGGAUUCGUGGUGAAGGUCUGGGGCUUGCCCUGGUCUUGCUCGGCAGAUGAAGUCCAGAGGUUUUUUUCCGACUGCAAAAUUCAAAAUGGGGAAGAAGGUAUAACAGCACUGGCAGAAGAGCUGGCUUUGAGAGGAUGAGGCGUGAUGGUUAUGGUGGAGGGUAUGGAGGCUAGGACGAUUACAAUGGCUAUAAUGAUGGCUAUGGAUUUGGGUUAGAUUUGGAAGAGGAAUGUCUGAUCACAGAUACAGGGAUGGUGGCUGUACUUUCCAGAGCACAACAGGACACUGUAUGCAUGCGUGGAUUACAUUACAGAGCUACUGACAAUGAGACAUGCAUGGAUUACCUUACAGAGCUCCUGAGAAUGACAUUUAUAAUUUUUUUUCACCGCUCAAUCCUGAGAGAGUACACAUUGAAAUUGGUCCUGAUGGCAGAGUAACUGGUGAAGCAGAUGUCGAGUUUGCAACUCAUGAAGAUGCUGUGGCAGCUGUGUCAAAAGACAAAGCAAAUAUGCGGAAGUGUGAUUGAGCAUUUGUGGGUUCUUAACAGGUGAUUAUGUGACUAACGUUUACAAUUGAGAAAUAGAAAAAUAAUAUAUGAGAAGUUUCCUCUCCAGUAAUAGAUUAAUUCUUGGAGGAUGGGGGGCAGUGUGUUGAAGCAGGUUUGGAUUUUUAAAAUUAGUAUAACAAGGAUUUGUGAUACGCACAUCUUGAAGUAUAUAUCCUUAAUUGACAAGAUAGAUGAAUAUGUAAAGGCUAGAGUUUGGAGUUAAAGUAGAUGACCUAAGAGAAGUAGCUAGAAUUUUCUUUGCCAAAGUAUUUGAAGUUCACAGAUCUGCUUGUUUAAAAACUUUAUAGAGGCCGGGCGC